rnacentral:rRNA from 1 species
CCUGCGGAAGGAUCAUUAUCGAGUUUUGAAAGUGGGCUUUUGAUGCUGGCCAGAUUCGUUUGGCAUUUGUGCUCGAAGCCCCGCUCAAUCCACUCMACCCCCCUGUGCACUUUCGAAGUCGUUAGUCGGGAAUAUGGUUAAUCCUCCGUUAUGGGAGCCGCUCUUUCAUUAGGGCUGGGAUUUGACUUUUCCUGCAGCUUCGCAUUUAUAAACCCAAUGUACUGUUUUGUAGAAUGCAUAUAGCCUCUUAGUGGGCGAAAAAUAAAUACAACUUUCAACAACGGAUCUCUUGGCUCUCGCAUCGAUGAAGAACGCAGCGAAAUGCGAUAAGUAAUGUGAAUUGCAGAAUUCAGUGAAUCAUCGAAUCUUUGAACGCACCUUGCGCUCCUUGGUAUUCCGAGGAGCAUGCCUGUUUGAGUGUCAUGAUCAUCUCACUUCCAACGGUUUUGUUGUCGUAUUUGGAACGUGGAUUUGGAGGCUUGCUGGCCCUAACUUAUACGUGGGUCGGCUCCUCUUGAAUGCAUUAGCUGGACGUUGUCGCGCGUUUGUGGUGUGAUAGGUUUUUAUUCACCUCGGACAAGUGGCAUUAGCGUUUGCUUCUAAUCGUCCCUUUGGGGACAAACUUAACAUCUUGACUUUGACCUCAAAUCAGGUAGGACUACCCGCU